rnacentral:rRNA from 1 species
AUCGAACGCUGGCGGCAUGCCUUACACAUGAAAGUCGAACGGUAACAGGUUAAGCUGACGAGUGGCGAACGGGUGAGUAAUGUAUCGGAACGUGCCCAGUCGUGGGGGAUAACUACUCGAAAGAGUGGCUAAUACCGCAUACGACCUGAGGGUGAAAGCGGGGGACCGUAAGGCCUCGCGCGAUUGGAGCGGACGAUAUCAGAUUAGCUAGUUGGUGGGGUAAAAGCCCACCAAGGCGACGCACUGGAGCUGGUCGUAGAGGACGAACAGCCACACUGGGACGGAGACACGGCCCAGACUCCUACGGAGGCAGCAGUGGGGAAUUUUGGACAAUGGACGCAAGUCUGAUCCAGCCGUGCCGCGUGCGGGAAGAAGGCCUUCGGUUUGUAAACCGCUUUUGUCAGGGAAGAAACGAGUUUCUCUAAUACAGAGACUUAAUGACGGUACCUGAAGAAUAAGCACCGGCUAACUACGUGCCAGCCGCCGCGGUAAAAC